AGUGAACGCUGGCGGCGUGCCUAAUACAUGCAAGUCGAACGGAGUGGCGCACGGGUGAGUAAUGUAUAGAUAAUCUGCCCUACACUCUAGGCCACAAGUUGGAAAAGGAUGCUAAUACUCUAUAGUUUAGGAUGAGGCUAUAUUCUAUCAGCUAGUUGGUGAGGCAAUGGCUCACCAAGGCUAUGACGCAUAACUGGUCUGUGAGGAUGAUCAGUCACACUCUAACUGAGACACGGGUCAGACUCCUACGGGAGGCAGCAGUAGGGAAUACUGCGCAAGGGGGGAAACUCUGAAGCAGCAUCGCCGCGUGGAGGAUGACACUUUUCGGAGCGUAAAGUCCUUUUUUUAGGGAAGCGGUACCUAACGAAUAAGCACCGGCUAACUCCGUGCCAGCAGCCGCGGUAAUAC
rnacentral:rRNA from 1 species